UACAGAGGUCUCAAGCGUUGUUCGGAUUCAUUGGGCGUAAAGGGUGCGUAGGCGGCGCGGUAAGUCGGGUGUGAAAUCUCGGAGCUUAACUCCGAAACUGCAUUCGAUACUGCCGUGCUUGAGGACUGGAGAGGAGACUGGAAUUUACGGUGUAGCGGUGAAAUGCGCAGAUAUCGGGAGGAACACCAAUGGCGAAGGCAGCUCGCUGGGACGUUACUGACGCUGAGACGCGAAAGCGUGGGGAGCAAACAGG
rnacentral:rRNA from 1 species